rnacentral:rRNA from 1 species
GACAGGGGGUGCAAGCGUUGCUCGGAAUCACUGGGCGUAAAGCGCACGUAGGCGGUUUCGUAAGUCGGGUGUGAAAGCCCUCAGCUUAACUGAGGAACUGCGCCCGAUACUGCGGAGCUAGAGGAUGGGAGGGGAGAGUGGAAUUCCUGGUGGAGCGGUGAAAUGCGUAGAUAUCAGGAGGAACACCAGUGGCGAAGGCGACUCUCUGGUCCAUUCCUGACGCUGAGGUGCGAGAGCUAGGGGAGCAAACGGG